GACGAACGCUGGCGGCGUGCUUAACACAUGCGAGUCGAACGGAAAGGCCCCUUUGGGGGUACUCGAGUGGCGAACGGGUGAGUAACACGUGAGUAACCUGCCCUUGACUUCGGGAUAACUUCAGGAAACUGGGGCUAAUACCGGAUAGGAAUCCUUGCUGCAUGGUGGGGGUUGGAAAGCUUCGGCGGUUUUGGAUGGACUCGCGGCUUAUCAGCUUGUUGGUGGGGUAGUGGCUUACCAAGGCUUUGACGGGUAGCCGGCCUGAGAGGGCGACCGGCCACAUUGGGACUGAGAUACGGCCCAGACUCCGACGGGAGGCAGCAGUGGGGAAUAUUGCACAAUGGGCGGAAGCCUGAUGCAGCAACGCCGCGUGCGGGAUGACGGCCUUCGGGUUGUAAACCGCUUUCAGCAGGGGCGAAGCUUGUGGUGACGGUACCUGCAGAAGAAGCACCGGCUAACUACGUG
rnacentral:rRNA from 1 species